rnacentral:tRNA from 1 species
GGCCUCGUAGCUGGUAGAGUGUGCGCUGUACAAAAGCGUAGGCGGCGUUCAUGUGUGGGUUCGAAUCCCACCGAGGCUA